GGUCCCGUAGCUCAGUUAGGAUAGAGCAGGACAGUCACACGUUCAGGUCACAGGUUCGAAUCCUGUAGGGACCACCA
rnacentral:tRNA from 1 species